GAUGAACGCUGACAGCAUGCUUAACACAUGCAAGUCUACUUGAACUUCGGUUUGGGUGGCGGACGGGUGAGUAACGCGUAAAGAACUUGCCUCACAGUUAGGGACAACAUUUGGAAACGAAUGCUAAUACCUGAUAUUAUGAUUUUGGGGCAUCUUAAGAUUAUGAAAGCUAUAUGCGCUGUGAGAGAGCUUUGCGUCCCAUUAGCUAGUUGGAGCGGUAACGGCUCACCAAGGCGAUGAUGGGUAGCCAGCCUUAGAGGGUGAACGGCCACAAGGGGAAUGAGACACGGCCCUUACUCCUACGGGAGGCAGCAGUGGGGAAUAUUGGACAAUGGACCAAAAGUCUGAUCCAGCAAUUCUGUGUGCACGAUGACGUUUUUCGGAAUGUAAAGUGCUUUCAGUUGGGGAGAAAAAAAUGACGGUACCAACAGAAGAAGUGACGGCUAAAUACGUGCCAGCAGCCGCCGUAAAAC
rnacentral:rRNA from 1 species